GCUGGGGUGGCGGAAUUGGUAGACGCGCACGUUUGAGGGGCGUGUAGAGAAAUCUGUGUGGGUUCAAGUCCCAUCCCCAGCA
rnacentral:tRNA from 1 species